rnacentral:rRNA from 1 species
GACAGAGGGUGCAAACGUUGUUCGGAAUUACUGGGCGUAAAGCGAGUGUAGGCGGUUUGGUAAGUCGGAUGUGAAAGCCCCGGGCUCAGCCCGGGAAGUGCACUCGAUACUGCCAAGCUAGAGUAUCGGAGAGGUUGGUGGAAUUCUCGGUGUAGAGGUGAAAUUCGUAGAUAUCGGAAGGAACACCUGUGGCGAAAGCGGCUCACUGGACCAUUACUGACGCUGAUGCACGAAAGCUAGGGGAGCAAACAGG